UCAAUUUAUAAUGAUAUAUUUUUUUCAGUUUUCAUAGUAUGUGUAAGGGCAGCCCUCGCAAGCUUGCACAGCUUAAAACUCAGUGGACUUGGCAAAAAUGGAUGAGAAGAAGAAAAAGGGAAACUUGAGAAGGGAAAUACUAAAGACUGGAGGCGGUCCACCUCCUCCAUCGGUGUGAUCCCGAUGACAUUGAAAGUUGGCUCCCACACGAGUUUACAGUGGACACGUGUGAAGGGGACUCUUACUUUUUACAUCGGUAUGAGACAGUUAAAGUGAAUAUAUUGGAUGAACAUGCCAUUACCACAACUGAUGCAAUUGAGGAGGUACCACUUGUAACUUCAGCUCCUACAGAAGCAGUAGAAAUAGUUGCUGCUGCUUCCACACCUUUGAAAAAAAGAAAAAAGGUAAACUUUUCGCUGCUGUUAUGUUAGUCCCAAGGUAAUGGAAAGUUAGAAAUAUUAGAAAAAGCACCCCUGGUGAAGCAUACCUGAGAAUCAAACCCAGGACUGAAUCAGUCAGCCGAUUGCCCUACCACUGCACCAUUGUGUGUUUCAUUAUUCAUUAUUAUAAAUAUUCAUUUCAGAUUAUAAAGAAGCAGAAGAAUCAUGACGAUGCUGCAGGAUUACCAGCCACCAUGAUAGCUAAUAACGAAAUCAAAUGUAGACAAGAGCUUCAUGCCAAACAAAUGCAAAAU